rnacentral:rRNA from 1 species
CCCUUAGAUGUUCUGGGCCGCACGCGCGCUACACUGACGAAUGCAACGAGCUUAUAACCUUGGCCGAAAGGUCUGGGUAAUCUCCAAAUUUCGUCGUGAUGGGGAUAGAUUAUUGCAAUUAUUAAUCUUCAACGAGGAAUGCCUAGUAAGCGCAAGUCAUCAGCUUGCGUUGAUUGCGUCCCUGCCCUUUGUACACACCGCCCGUCGCUCCUACCGAUUGAAUGGUCCGGUGAAGCGUUCGGACCGUGGCCUUUGGACGGUUCGCCGUCUGUUGGCUGCGGGAAGUUCGUUAAACCUUAUCAUUUAGAGGAAGGAGAAGUCGUAACA